rnacentral:lncRNA from 1 species
GUCUUCCCUGACGCUGGCCAGCUUCAUCCUCGUCUUCUUUGUGGCCUCCGUGGGAGUUCGAUGGAUGAUUGGUGUGACGGAAAUUGACAAGGGCUCUGCCUACGGCAACUCUGACAGCAAGCAGAAACUGAAUGACUGACUCAGGGAGGUGUCACCAUCCGAAGGGAACCUUGGGGAACUGGUGGCCUCUGCAUAUCCUCCUUAGUGGGACACGGUGACAAAGGCUGGGUGAGCCCCUGCUGGGCACGGCGGAAGUCACGACCUCUCCAGCCAGGGAGUCUGGUCUCAAGGCCGGAUGGGGAGGAAGAUGUUUUGUAAUCUUUUUUUCCCCAUGUGCUUUAGUGGGCUUUGGUUUUCUUUUUGUGCGAGUGUGUGUGAGAAUGGCUGUGUGGUGAGUGUGAACUUUGUUCUGUGAUCAUAGAAAGGGUAUUUUAGGCUGCAGGGGAGGGCAGGGCUGGGGACCGAAGGGGACAAGUUCCCCUUUCAUCCUUUGGUGCUGAGUUUUCUGUAACCCUUGGUUGCCAGAGAUAAAGUGAAAAGUGCUUUAGGUGAGAUGACUAAAUUAUGCCUCCAAGAAAAAAAAAUUAAAGUGC